UACAGAGGUCCCAAGCGUUGUUCGGAUUCACUGGGCGUAAAGGGUGCGUAGGCGGUCGGGUAAGUCUGAUGUGAAAUCUCACAGCUUAACUGUGAAACUGCAUUGGAUACUAUUCGGCUUGAGAGUUGGAGGGGGGACUGGAAUUCUGGUGUAGCGUGAAAUGCGUAGAUAUCAAGAGGAACACCAGUGGCGAAGGCGAGU
rnacentral:rRNA from 1 species